UCUCUCGUCGUAUAAUGGUUAAUUACACACGCACCUGGUCCCGUCUUAUUGUAGAAUCGUUGAGUUUGUGUGGGAUCUGGGUUCGAAUCUCAGCGAGAGGA